GGCAACUAUGCAAUGACCAUCUUGGAAGUUAAGGAAAAGGGAGAAAGAGAAAUCUUUCUGUCUAAAGUGUAAUUAGCAAUGGCUUCCUCUGUUCUUUCCUCUGCAGCAGUUGCCACUCGCACCAAUGUUGCUCAAGCUAACAUGGUUGCACCUUUCACUGGUCUUAAGUCAGCUGCCUCAUUCCCUGUUUCAAGGAAGCAAAACCUUGACAUCACUUCCAUUGCUAGCAAUGGUGGAAGAGUGCAAUGCAUGCAGGUAACUUAUAUACAUUCGACAAUUUUCUUUUUACAAUUAUUGUCAUAAUUAAAAGUUGUUUUUGGUGGAGUAUAGGUAUGGCCCCCAUAUGGCAAGAAGAAGUACGAAACUCUCUCAUACCUUCCCGAUUUAAGCGAGGAGCAAUUGCUUAGUGAAAUUGAGUACCUUUUGAAAAAUGGAUGGGUUCCUUGUUUGGAAUUCGAGACUGAGGUCAAUAAUUUUGCAUACUCCCUCUGUUUUAUGUGACUUUUUCUUUUUUAUAUUUGUUGUCCGAGAAAACAGACAUAUUUAGAAAAAAUUUAACUUUAAAAUUGCUUAAUAUGUGUAGCGCGGAUUUGUCUACCGUGAAAACAACAAGUCACCAGGAUACUAUGACGGCAGGUGAGUCACAAUUAUUUAGUUAAAUCAUGAAUAUAAAUGUUAAAUUUUAAAUCUUGAAUGCGCAGAUACUGGACCAUGUGGAAGCUGCCCAUGUUUGGGUGCACUGAUGCCACCCAAGUGUUAGCUGAGGUGGGAGAGGCGAAGAAGGCAUACCCAGAGGCCUGGAUCCGUAUCAUUGGAUUCGACAACGUGCGUCAAGUGCAGUGCAUCAGUUUCAUUGCCUACAAGCCUGAAGGCUACUAAGUUACAUAUUAGGACAACUUACCCUAUUGUCUUGUCUUUAGGGGUUGUGUUGUUUUAAUUUUUUUUUACUUCUUCCCACAAAAACUGUUUAUGUUUCCUUCUUUCUAUUCGGUGUAUGUUUUUCGAUUCCUACCAAGUUAUGAGACCUAAUAAUUAUGAUUUGGU
rnacentral:lncRNA from 1 species